rnacentral:rRNA from 1 species
CCUACGGGUGGCAGCAGUGGGGAAUAUUGCACAAUGGGCGAAAGCCUGAUGCAGCAACGCCGCGUGAAGGAUGAAGGUUUUCGGCUCGUAAACUUCUGUCAACAGGGACGAAAGAAAUGACGGUACCUGAAUAAGAAACCCCGGCUAACUACGUGCCAGCAGCCGCGGUAAUACGUAGGGGGCAAGCGUUAUCCGGAAUUACUGGGUGUAAAGAUUGAGUAGGCGGCAUGGCAAGCCAUAUGUGAAAGCCUUGGGCUUAACCCGAGAAUUGCAUUUGAAACUCUCAAGCUAGAGUACAGGAGAGGAAAGCGGAAUUCCUAGUGUAGGGGUGAAAUGCGUAGAUAUUAGGAAGAACACCAGUGGCGAAGGCGGCUUUCUGGACUGAAACUGACGCUGAGGCACGAAAGCGUGGGGAGCGAACAGGAUUAGAUACCCGGGUAGUC